GGGCCUACGGGGGGCAGCAGUGGGGAAUAUUGCACAAUGGGGGAAACCCUGAUGCAGCGACGCCGCGUGAGUGAAGAAGUAUUUCGGUAUGUAAAGCUCUAUCAGCAGGGAAGAAAUACUGACCUUACGGUCAGCAGACGGUACCUGACUAAGAAGCCCCGGCUAACUACGUGCCAGCAGCCGCGGUAAUACGUAGGGGGCAAGCGUUAUCCGGAUUUACUGGGUGUAAAGGGAGCGUAGACGGCGGAACAAGUCAGAAGUGAAAACCCGGGGCUCAACCCUGGGAGUGCUUUUGAAACUGUUUG
rnacentral:rRNA from 1 species